CGGCCGCAGAGUUUGAUCAUGGCUCGGGAUGAACGCUAGCGACAGGCUUAACACAUGCAAGUCGAGGGGCAGCACAGGUAGCAAUACCGGGUGGCGACCGGCGCACGGGUGAGUAACGCGUAUGCAACUUACCUAUCAGAGGGGGAUAACCCGGCGAAAGUCGGACUAAUACCGCAUGAAGCAGGGGCCCCGCAUGGGGAUAUUUGCUAAAGAUUCAUCGCUGAUAGAUAGGCAUGCGUUCCAUUAGGCAGUUGGCGGGGUAACGGCCCACCAAACCGACGAUGGAUAGGGGUUCUGAGAGGAAGGUCCCCCACAUUGGUACUGAGACACGGACCAAACUCCUACGGGAGGCAGCAGUGAGGAAUAUUGGUCAAUGGGCGUAAGCCUGAACCAGCCAAGUCGCGUGAGGGAUGAAGGUUCUAUGGAUCGUAAACCUCUUUUAUAAGGGAAUAAAGUGCGGGACGUGUCCCGUUUUGUAUGUACCUUAUGAAUAAGGAUCGGCUAACUCCGUGCCAGCAGCCGCGGUAAUACGGAGGAUCCGAGCGUUAUCCGGAUUUAUUGGGUUUAAAGGGUGCGUAGGCGGCCUUUUAAGUCAGCGGUGAAAGUCUGUGGCUCAACCAUAGAAUUGCCGUUGAAACUGGGAGGCUUGAGUAUGUUUGAGGCAGGCGGAAUGCGUGGUGUAGCGGUGAAAUGCUUAGAUAUCACGCAGAACCCCGAUUGCGAAGGCAGCCUGCCAAGCCAUGACUGACGCUGAUGCACGAAAGCGUGGGGAUCAAACAGGAUUAGAUACCCUGGUAGUCCACGCAGUAAACGAUGAUCACUAGCUGUUUGCGAUACACAGUAAGCGGCACAGCGAAAGCGUUAAGUGAUCCACCUGGGGAGUACGCCGGCAACGGUGAAACUCAAAGGAAUUGACGGGGGCCCGCACAAGCGGAGGAACAUGUGGUUUAAUUCGAUGAUACGCGAGGAACCUUACCCGGGUUUGAACGCAUUCGGACCGAGGUGGAAACACCUUUUCUAGCAAUAGCCGUUUGCGAGGUGCUGCAUGGUUGUCGUCAGCUCGUGCCGUGAGGUGUCGGCUUAAGUGCCAUAACGAGCGCAACCCUUAUCCUUUGUUGCCAGCGGUCCGGCCGGGAACUCAAAGGAGACUGCCAGUGAUAAACUGGAGGAAGGUGGGGAUGACGUCAAGUCAUCAUGGCCCUUACGACCAGGGCUACACACGUGCUACAAUGGCGCAUACAAAGAGAAGCGACCUCGCGAGAGCAAGCGGACCUCAUAAAGUGCGUCGUAGUCCGGAUUGGAGUCUGCAACUCGACUCCAUGAAGUCGGAAUCGCUAGUAAUCGUGGAUCAGAAUGCCACGGUGAAUACGUUCCCGGGCCUUGUACACACCGCCCGUCACACCAUGGGAGUGGGUUGCAAAAGAAGUAGGUAGCUUAACCUUCGGGAGGGCGCUUACCACUUUGUGAUUCAUGACUGGGGUGAAGUCGUAACAAGGUAGACCGUAGCGGCCGCGGUACCCGGGGGAUCCCUUUU
rnacentral:rRNA from 19 species